UAGGGAAUCUUCCACAAUGGACGCAAGUCUGAUGGAGCAACGCCGCGUGAGUGAAGAAGGUUUUCGGACCGUAAAGCUCUGUUGUUGGUGAAGAAGGAUAGAGGUAGUAACUGGCCUUUAUUUGACGGUAAUCAACCAGAAAGUCACGGCUAACUACGUGCCAGCAGCCGCGGUAAUACGUAGGUGGCAAGCGUUGUCCGGAUUUAUUGGGCGUAAAGCGAGCGCAGGCGGAAGAAUAAGUCUGAUGUGAAAGCCCUCGGCUUAACCGAGGAAUUGCAUUGGAAACUGUUUUUCUUGAGUGCAGAAAGAGGAGAGUAGAACUCCAUGUGUAGCGGUGGAAUGCGUAGAUAUAUGGAAGAAUACCAGUGGCGAAGGCGGCUCUCUGGUCUGCAACUGACGCUGAGGCUCGAAAGCAUGGGUAGCGAACAGGAUUAGAUACCCUGGUAGUCCAUGCCGUAAACGAUGAGUGCUAAG
rnacentral:rRNA from 1 species